rnacentral:lncRNA from 1 species
UGGCACCAUUGCUGGCUUCAAGAGGGAUGAGACCAUAUGAAAGGAAUUCAGGCUAUCUCUGGAGCUGAGCACAACCCCCAGGUCACAUCCAACAAAGAAACAGGGACCUCAGUCCUAUAAACACCACCAACAGAAUGAACUUGGAAGCAGAUUUUCCCCCAGAGCAUCCAGAUAAGAACUCAGUCCACUCAACAUCUUCAGCUUUGUGAUAUUCCAGGCAUAUUGUGCUGAACUUCUGACUUACAGAACUACUGUACGCAUUGGGCAAACUAGUUUCUGCAGUUAGCGCUGUGCCCAAAAAGGCCUUGUCUCCACUCAAGCUAAAAAAAAAAGUCAGUCCUGAAAGGAUUAUAAAAGCAAGAAAGAAACAUGGACUCUAAGAAUUAACAACAGUGUGGGAAGCCACGGAGGAGAUUUAUGACUACCCUAAAUUGGUUUGUGUUUGGAUGGUGAGUGCCUGAAAAUUGCUACUGAAUAUUUUGAUGAGAAAAUGAAUUAAGAUAAAUCUUUUUAACUUUCUGCUUUUGAUUAUCUUUUUUUUCUUAUCUUAGGAUGACUAUUUCCUGCUCUUUAUUACUAGAAAUUGGCAGCAACAUCUCAGAUUGGAUAAUGGUACUGGUGGAAUAAUUACCAGAAAGAAAAAAACAUCCCCACUAAAGUGAUGAAAACAUGUACAGAUUGUCCAACCUUUUGCUUUUGUACCACUUCCCCUUCCAGAUGUCAGGGUUGUGAUUUAUUUCUCCCUAAGAGUUUAAAAAUAAAACUCUCAUCAUAAAAUUUGCCUGAUACUGAUGAAAAAUAAGAUGUAGUAAUUUAGGCUUUCAGACUAGACUCAGAAAUAGAAU